rnacentral:ncRNA from 1 species
GAGAUCGGGAGGAAUACCAGUGGCGAAGGCGGCCUUCUGGACUGACACUGACACUGAGGUGCGAAAGCGUGGGUAGCAAACAGGAUUAGAUACCCUGGUAGUCCACGCCGUAAACGAUGUCGACCAGCCGUUGGGUGCCUAGCGCACUUUGUGGCGAAGUUAACGCGAUAAGUCGACCGCCUGGGGGAGUACGGCCGCAAGGUUAAAACUCAAAUGAAUUGACGGGGGGCCCGCACAAGCGGUGGAGCAUGUGGUUUAAUUCGAUGCAACGCGAAGAACCUUCCUACUCUUGACAUCCUGCGAAUUCGGUAGAGAUACCUUAGUGCCUUCGGGAACGCAGAGACAGGUGCUGCAUGGCUGUCGUCAGCUCGUGUUGUGAAAUGUUGGGUUAAGUCCCGUAACGAGCGCAACCCUUGUCCUUAUUUGCCAGCGCGUAAUGGCGGGAACUCUAAGGAGACUGCCGGUGACAAACCGGAGGAAGGUGGGGACGACGUCAAGUCAUCAUGGCCCUUACGAGUAGGGCUACACACGUGCUACAAUGGUCGGUACAAAGGGUUGCCAACUCGCGAGAGUGAGCCAAUCCCGAAAAGCCGAUCUCAGUCCGGAUCGGAGUCUGCAACUCGACUCCGUGAAGUCGGAAUCGCUAGUAAUCGUAGAUCAGAAUGCUACGGUGAAUACGUUCCCGGGCCUUGUACACACCGCCCGUCACACCAUGGGAGUGGACUGCACCAGAAGUGGUUAGCCUAACGCAAGAGGGCGAUCACCACGGUGUGGUUCAUGACUGGGGUGAAGUCGUAACAAGGUAGCCGUAGGGGAACCUGCGGCUGGAUCACCUCCUUA